CCUACGGGUGGCAGCAGUGAGGAAUAUUGGUCAAUGGACGGAAGUCUGAACCAGCCAUGCCGCGUGCAGGAAGACGGCUCUAUGAGUUGUAAACUGCUUUUGUACAAGGGUAAACCUGAAUACGUGUAUUCAGCUGGAAUUACUUUCCGAAUAAGGACAGUCUAACUCCGUCCCAGCAGCCGCGGUAAUACGGAGGAUCCAACCUUUAACCGGAUUUUUUGGGUUGAAGGGGGGCGUAGGCGGAUUGAUAAGUUAGCGGUGAAAUGUCCGAGCUUAACUCGGGAACUGCCUCUAAUACUGUUGAUCUAGAGAGUAGAUGCGGUAGGCGGAAUGUAUGGUGUAGCGGUGAAAUGCUUAGAGAUCAUACAGAACACCGAUUGCGAAGGCAGCUUACCAAUCUAUAUCUGACGUUGAGGCACGAAAGCGUGGGGAGCAAACAGGAUUAGAUACCCGAGUAGUC
rnacentral:rRNA from 1 species